GCUAUAUACAGGGGGGUACCGGUACAGAGUCAAUGUGGAAGCUAUAUACAGGGGGUACCAGUACAGAGUCAAUGUGGAGGCUAUAUACAGGGUGUUACGGUACAGAGUCAAUGUGGAGGCUAUAUACAGGGUGUUAAGGUACAGAGUCAAUGUGGAGGCUAUAUACCGGGGGUACCAGUACAGAGUCAAUGUGGAGGCUAUAUACAGGGUGUACCAGUACAGAGUCAAUGUGGAGACUAUAUACAGGGGGUACCAGUACAGAGUCAAUGUGGAGGCUAUAUACAGGAUGUACCAGUACAGAGUCAUUGUGGAGGCUAUAUACAGGGGGUACCAGUACAGAGUCAAUGUGGAGGCUAUAUACAGGGUGUACCAGUACAGAGUCAAUGUGGAGACUAUAUACAGGGGGUACCAUUACAGAGUCAAUGUGGAGGCUAUAUACAGGGUGUACCAGUACAGAGUCAUUGUGGAGGCUAUAUACAGGGGGUACCAGCACAGAGUCAAUGUGGAGGCUAUAUACAGGGGGUACCAGUACAGAGUCAAUGUGGAGGCUAUAUACAGGGGGUACCAGUACAGAGUCAAUGUGGAGGCUAUAUACAGGGGGGUACCAGUACAGAGUCAAUGUGGAGGCUAUAUACAGGGUGUUACGGUACAGAGUCAAUGUGGAGGCUAUAUACAGGGGGUACCGGUACAGAGCCAAUGUGGAGGCUAUAUACAGGUUGUUACGGAACAGAGUCAAUGUGGAGGCUAUAUACAGGGUGUUACGGUACAGAGUCAAUGUGGAGGCUAUAUACAGGGGCUACCGGUACAGAGUCAAUGUGCGGGGGCACAGGUUAGUCGAGGUAAUUUAGGUAAUAUGUAGGUAACGGUAAAGUGACAAUGCAAAGAUAAUAAACAGAGGGUAGCAGCAGCGUAAAAAUAGGGGGAGGUGGGUCAAUACAAAUAGUCCGGGUAGCGAUUUGAUUAACUGUUCAGGAGUCUUAUGGUUUGAGGGUAGACGCUGUUAAGAAGCCUUUUGGACCUAGACUUGGCUCUCUGGUACCGCUUGCCGUGCAGUAGCAGAGAGAACAGUCUAAUACUAGGGUGGCUGGAGUCUUUGGCAAUUGUUAGGGCAUUCCUCUGACACUGCCUGGUAUAAAGGUCCUGGAUGGCAGGAAGCUUGGCCCCAGUGAUGUACUGGGCCAUACACGCUACCCUCUGAAGUGCCUUGAUGUCGGAGGCUGAGCAGUUGCCAUACCAUUCGGGAUGCAACCAGUCAGGAUGCUCUCGAUGGUGCAGAUGUUGAACUUUUUGAGGAUCUGAGGACUUAUGCCAAAUCUUUUCAGUCUCCUGAGGGGGGAAUAGACAUUGUCAUGCCUUCUUCACAACUCUCUUUGUGUGUUUGGGACAAUGAUAGUUCAUUGGUGACGGGGACACCAAGGAACUUGAAGCUCUCAACCUGCUGCCACUUUUCCUUUUUCCUGUAGUCCUCAAUCACAUUGAGGGAGAGGUUGUUGUCCUGGCACCACACUGCCAGGUCUCUGACCUCCUUCCUAUAAGCUGGUACAGAGU
rnacentral:lncRNA from 1 species